AUGGAGGGCGACGAGAUCUUUGCAAGCCUAGACUCGCUCUGGUUCCACUCCAGCGUCCUCCACCGGCGGCCGCGCUUCAAGCAGUGCUCCGAAGAGUUGAAGCCGCCCAGGAAGCAGGAUCAACAUCCCAAAUGCGUCGACGACGAGGUGACGCUGGGGGCGAGAAGAGCGGAUCCAGGAAGGAGGGCGCUCCAAGAGCGCAUCGAGACAUGGCAGGAGGAGCAGUGGCGGCAGCCGACGCUCGUCAUUGCGGCACCGCCACGGUGCUCGCCCGUCGGCGAUGGUGUCGCCAUGAAGGCUCAUCUCAGGUGA
rnacentral:rRNA from 1 species